CCUACGGGAGGCUGCAGUGGGGAAUAUUGGACAAUGGGGGGAACCCUGAUCCAGCCAUGCCGCGUGUGUGAAGAAGGCCCUCGGGUUGUAAAGCACUUUCAGUGAGGAAGAACGCCUGGUGGUUAAUACCCAUCAGGAAAGACAUCACUCACAGAAGAAGCACCGGCUAACUCCGUGCCAGCAGCCGCGGUAAUACGGAGGGUGCGAGCGUUAAUCGGAAUUACUGGGCGUAAAGCGCGCGUAGGUGGCUUGAUAAGCCGGUUGUGAAAGCCCCGGGCUCAACCUGGGAACGGCAUCCGGAACUGUCAAGCUAGAGUGCAGGAGAGGAAGGUAGAAUUCCCGGUGUAGCGGUGAAAUGCGUAGAUAUCGGGAGGAAUACCAGUGGCGAAGGCGGCCUUCUGGACUGACACUGACACUGAGGUGCGAAAGCGUGGGUAGCAAACAGGAUUAGAUACCCGAGUAGUC
rnacentral:rRNA from 1 species